AUAUCAAUAAGCGGAGGAAAAGAAACCAACAGGGAUUACCUCAGUAACGGCGAGUGAAGCGGUAACAGCUCAAAUUUGAAAUCUGGCUCUUUCAGGGUCCGAGUUGUAAUUUGUAGAAGAUGCUUUGGGUGUGGUCCCGGUCUAAGUUCCUUGGAACAGGACGUCAUAGAGGGUGAGAAUCCCGUAUGUGACUGGGUGCCUUCGCCCGUGUAAAGCUCUUUCGACGAGUCGAGUUGUUUGGGAAUGCAGCUCAAAAUGGGUGGUAAAUUUCAUCUAAAGCUAAAUAUUGGCCAGAGACCGAUAGCGCACAAGUAGAGUGAUCGAAAGAUGAAAAGCACUUUGGAAAGAGAGUUAAACAGUACGUGAAAUUGUUGAAAGGGAAGCGCUUGCAACCAGACUUGCCCGCCGUCGAUCAUCCGGGGUUCUCCCCGGUGCACUCGGCGGCGAUCAGGCCAGCAUCGGUUUCGGUGGUGGGAUAAAGGCCUUGGGAAUGUAGCUUCUUUCGGGGAGUGUUAUAGCCCUCGGUGCAAUGCCGCCUACCGGGACCGAGGACCGCGCUUCGGCUAGGAUGCUGGCGUAAUGGUUGUAAGCGA
rnacentral:rRNA from 1 species